CCUACGGGAGGCAGCAGUGGGGAAUAUUGCACAAUGGGGGCAACCCUGAUGCAGCGAAGUCGCGUGAGUGAAGACGUAUUUCGGUAUUGUAAGCUCUAUCAGCCAGAACGCGAAAAGACGGUACCUUACUACUAAGCCCCUGCUUACUAAGUGACAACAGCCGCAGUAAUUCGUCGGGGGCGAGCGUUAUCCGGAAUCGCUGGGUGUAACGGGAUGGUAGACGGCUGUGCAAGCCUGAAGGGAAAGGCUGGGGCCCAACCCCCAGACUGCUUUGGGAACUGGACGGCUGGAGUGCAGGAGAGGUAAGUGGAAUGCCUAGUGGAGCGGUGAAAUGCGUAGAUAUUAGGAGGAACACCAGUGGCGAAGGCGGCAUACCGG
rnacentral:rRNA from 1 species